AAGAAAAUGCUUCAUUAAAAGACUGGGUCGACCCACAAGUUAAGAGUUCAUUAUAAUAGAAAGAGUUAAAGACUGGGCUAAGGCCUGUUUUGCUAAAUUAUCAGCCUCUCGAUUCUGGUUUCGAGGGAUGAAGGAGAAAGAAACGUCGGUGAAAGAAGACGAGAUCUGUUGAAUGUCCCAGAGGAUAACAAAGAUCUCGUUUGUCUGCAUGUUUCCGUUGAUAGCUCGAAUGAGCGAUUGAUUUGUCGGAGGCCAUCUUGAGGUUCAUAUGCCCAAGUGUUGCUGCCUUGAUGCGAGACGUUCUCAGCGCUAGUGCGUCUGCCAUGAGUGGGGAGUUUGCAAAAUCCACGGUUGUGUAUCCUUGUCGAGUCUCACUAGUGUCGAUUCCUGAGAAAAUCCAAGCCAAUCCAACUCUUUGAGUGUCUUGUCCCAUGAUGCGUGUGAUUUGCAGACGACCUCUGGUUCAGUCGCUUGUCCGAGUGAUCUUUCUCUGCUUAAAUCAGAUGAGAGACUUCUGUUCUCGAAGAUGAGAAGGUUACGAUCUCGCCAUAAGGGCCAGAAGAUCCAUGGGAGCACCUUGUAUACAAUACCAGAGGGAUGGAAACAGACCGAGUUCCAAAAUAAGAGCAUGAUCUUUUCAAAAUCUUCAUUCGAGUCUACAGCUAUGUGAACUGACUGAGAUAUCAGAAUGUUCUGCCACACUUCGCAAGCAAAAUAACAUGAUUGACCAGAGAAAGACUUUCAUUUUUUUGGUGAAAAUGAGCCUGACCAGACGUCUCUUCUCCAGUUGAAAGUGUCCUCCGAGAUGGAUGGGGUCAUCACUUGUGAUCCCAUUGAAGCAGAGAAGUAACCUGAUUUGGUAGCACAGAUGCCUGACUUAGAAGGUUGCCAAAUGUAUAUGUACUCUUCUCCCUUUUGGCUUGGCUUUAGGCAUUGAAUCUCCGGAGCAAACUCAGGAAUGAUCUCCUAAAUUCUUUUUGUAUUCCACUUCACAUCAGUAUUUAGGAGAAUCCACUACUCGUAGGUCCAACGCUUCUUCUCUUAUGGGUCCAAAGGGUUUAUUAUGUCUGUCUAGAGUAAUCCAAGAAUCUUGCCACACUCGAGUAGUGAGUUUAUUACCAAUAGCCUUCCCUAGAUUUUGUUUUAAUAGGUCGCGACCAUGUUGGAUUCCAUGUCAUCCAUGAGAGCAGCUGGAUGGGGCAGAGGUUUCUAGAAAUGAUUGCUUCUGCAGUGUAGAACCCGAGCUAGUAGGCUCUCUGGUUGUGUAAGGAUCCCCCAUGCUAGCUUGGCCAGUAGAGCUCAGUUUAAUAGUUGAAUGUCCCUGAGUCCCAAACCACCUCAUGCUUUAGGUUUAGUUAAUUUAUUCCAUGCCACUCAGCUCAUCUUUCUUUUGUUGUCAGGUCCAUCCCACCAAAACCUCGUUAGGAGAUAUUGUAUUUUUCAAUUUACAGAGACUAACUGGGAGGAGUAAACAUGACAUUGUAUAGGUAGGGAUUGCUGAGAGGAUUGCUUGAACCAUAGUGAGCUUGCCUGCCUUGGAGAGGAACCGGGUUUACCAGCUAACAACGCAAUUUUAGAUUCUUUCGACUUCUUCCGAAAUGUUCAGAAAGGCCUAAAAAGUGAUUGAGGACUUGGGAGUAUUUAUCUUCAGUCCAGAAGCUUUCUCGUAAUUCAAUAGAAUACUGCAUAAGGCUUCACAACCGGCAGGUGAGGCAGCAUCGAAGAACAUCGUGUCAUCUGCAAAUAGCAUACGAUUGAUGGCGAAGCCACUCUUAUGCCCCGGAGUGAAGUAUCUUUUGCUGCAUUUCUCCAUAGGUCCAAGAUGACUUCUCCACAAAGAAUGAACAAAUAUUAUCCUAUCAAUCUAACAAUUCAUUUUUUAAUCCUUGAAGAAACCUUAAAUCUAACAAUCAGAUUACUCAAACAUGAUCAAUGAAACAAAAAUUAUUA